rnacentral:rRNA from 1 species
GAGUUUGAUCUUGGCUCAGGAUGAACGUUAGCGGCGUGCCUAACACAUGCAAGUCGAACGAACAGCCAGAAUCUUAGGAAUCUGGCGGGUUAGUGGCGCACGGGUGAGUAACACGUAGGUGACCUGCCCCCGAAGUGGGGGGACAACCGACUGGAAACAGUGGCUAAUACCGCAUGUGCUUAGCCAUUCGGUUGGUUAAGUAAAGCUGAGGCGCUUCGGGAGGGCCUGCGGUCGAUUAGCUAGUUGGUGAGGUAAUGGCUCACCAAGGCGAUGAUCGAUAGGGGGCGUGAGAGCGUGACCCCCCAGACUGGGACUGAGACACGGCCCAGACUCCUACGGGAGG